AUAAAUAAAUCCGGGCAGUCGCUUCCCGAUAAAUCGGGAGGAGGAAAGUCCGAACUUUACAGAACAGAGUGCCGGGUAACACCCGGGUACCCCUAAAUAUUGGGGUAACUGAAAGUGCCACAGAAAAAAUACCGCCCCGGUUUUCGGGGUAAGGGUGAAAAGGUGGGGUAAGAGCUCACCGCUCCGAUAGUAAUAUCGGAGGCACGGUAAACCACACUCGAAGCAAGAUCAAGUAUGAAAGGAUUUCCGGUUUUAAAUCGGAUAAGAGUUGUUCGCUCUGUUUACCUUUCGGGUAGAUCGCUGGAUCAUAAUAGUAAUAUUAUGACAAGAUAAAUGGCUGCCGCCCCGACCUUACGGGGUUACAGAAUUCGGCUUACAGGAUAUUUAUAUGA
rnacentral:RNase_P_RNA from 1 species